rnacentral:rRNA from 1 species
UAAGGAAUAUUGGUCAAUGGACGCAAGUCUGAACCAGCCAUGCCGCGUGAAGGAUGAAGGUCCUCUGGAUUGUAAACUUCUUUUAUCUCGGACGAAAACGGGAUUUUUAUCUCAAUUGACGGUACCAGAGGAAUAAGCACCGGCUAACUCCGUGCCAGCAGCCGCGGUAAUACGGAGGGUGCGAGCGUUAUCCGGAUUUACUGGGUUUAAAGGGUGCGUAGGUGGGCUUAUAAGUCAGUGGUGAAAUCUCCGAGCUUAACUUGGAAACUGCCGUUGAUACUAUAGGUCUUGAAUUAUCUGGAGGUAAGCGGAAUAUGUCAUGUAGCGGUGAAAUGCUUAGAUAUGACAUAGUACACCAAUUGCGAAGGCAGCUUACUACAUAUAAAUUGACGCUGAGGCACGAAAGCGUGGGGAUCAAACA